GUGCCAGCAGCCGCGGUAAUACGUAGGGUGCAAGCGUUGUCCGGAAUUACUGGGCGUAAAGAGCUCGUAGGUGGUUUGUCGCGUCGUUAGUGAAAGCCCGGGGCUUAACUCCGGGUCUGCUGGCGAUACGGGCAUAACUUGAGUGCUGUAGGGGAGACUGGAAUUCCUGGUGUAGCGGUGGAAUGCGCAGAUAUCAGGAGGAACACCGAUGGCGAAGGCAGGUCUCUGGGCAGUAACUGACGCUGAGGAGCGAAAGCAUGGGUAGCGAACAGGAUUAGAUACCCUGGUAGUCCAUGCCGUAAACGGUGGGCGCUAGGUGUGGGGGUUUUUCACGACUUCCGUGCCGUAGCUAACGCAUUAAGCGCCCCGCCUGGGGAGUACGGCCGCAAGGCUAAAACUCAAAGGAAUUGACGGGGGCCCGCACAAGCGGCGGAGCAUGUGGAUUAAUUCGAUGCAACGCGAAGAACCUUACCUGGGCUUGACAUAUACGGGAUCGGCGUAGAGAUACGUUUUCCCUUGUGGCUUGUAUACAGGUGGUGCAUGGUUGUCGUCAGCUCGUGUCGUGAGAUGUUGGGUUAAGUCCCGCAACGAGCGCAACCCUUGUCUUGUGUUGCCAGCACGUUAUGGUGGGGACUCGCGAGAGACUGCCGGGGUUAACUCGGAGGAAGGUGGGGAUGACGUCAAAUCAUCAUGCCCCUUAUGUCCAGGGCUUCACACAUGCUACAAUGGUCGGUACAGUGGGUUGCCAUGCCGUGAGGUGGAGCUAAUCCCUUAAAGUCGGUCUCAGUUCGGAUUGGAGUCUGCAACUCGACUCCAUGAAGUCGGAGUCGCUAGUAAUCGCAGAUCAGCAACGCUGCGGUGAAUACGUUCCCGGGCCUUGUACACACCGCCCGUCACGUCAUGAAAGUUGGUAACACCCGAAGCCAGUGGCCCAAACUCGUUAGGGAGCUGUCGAAGGUGGGAUCGGCGAUUGGGACGAAGUCGUAACAAGGUA
rnacentral:rRNA from 1 species